rnacentral:tRNA from 1 species
AUUUCUUAUUUAUAUAGUUUACGAAAACAUUACAUUUUCAUUGUAAAAUUAAAUAUUUAUUAUUUUAUAA